GUAAAGCAAUCAGGCGGACAGUUGACAGCCACAGGCCAGGAAAGUUACUUGAUUGGCUGGGCUUCGGGUGAGCGCAGAGAUAGGUAGGCCUAAUAACAGGUGUGUGAGGGACUGCCCAUCAAAUUCAAAUUCAAAUCAAUAUUGUGGAGGACUGGUCAUGCUGAGAGUAACGUCAGUAUUUUACAGACUGUUUUGGUGUUACUAUCAGUUUCCUAGCUAUUCUAGCAACAGCGCUAACGCUAAACUAGCGCCUUUUAGCCGACUUUUGACGGGACAUGGUAAGCUAGCUGCAGUGCUAAGCUAGUGCGUUCCCGUGGACUCAAUAGACGAAAACAGGAGACCAGCGGGCUCCUCUGGCAACAUGGACCAGACGUCUCUCCGCCGUUAAGGAGGAGCUACGAGCCGUUUCCAGCCUCAAGGGACUGACAGAAACGUAGAACUGCAGCUUGCGCCCAUUCAGUGUUACAUUUUAACAGCAGAAACUGCCGGUGGUGUUAUGAGUUGCCACUCGGCAUCAUGAGGAAGCUUCUGAAGGGAGCCAUAACUGCCGCCAAAGGCCUUUUAAAUCCUCGGAUUUGAUGGCUUGAGGAUUCGGCAGGAGGAUUCAAAAAGGAUGAAGAGAAAAUUGCACAUCCUAAAGAAAACAGAGCAUUUGCAUCCCUGUGUCCAGGAUGAAAAAGGGAGAAGAAGAAAUGGAAAUGCAUACUAAUUUAUCAUUGGCUUUUACUGCUCCUUGAUGGUCCAUAACUCACUCUGACCAUGAUUCCCUUUUCCCCUUCAUACUGCCGGAUUCAAAAUCCACUACGCCAUGUUUUAAUGACCUUAUUAUAGGCAAAUCUACACUGUCCAAUAAAAACUUUACACUUUGAACUGUGA